rnacentral:rRNA from 1 species
GUGCUUAACACAUGCAAGUCGAACGGAAAGGCCCCGCUUGCGGGGUACUCGAGUGGCGAACGGGUGAGUAACACGUGGGUGAUCUACCCUGCACUUCGGGAUAAGCCUGGGAAACUGGGUCUAAUACCGGAUAGGACCCCUCUUUAGUGUGGGGGGUGGAAAGUUUUUUCGGUGUGGGAUGAGCCCGCGGCCUAUCAGCUUGUUGGUGGGGUAAUGGCCUACCAAGGCGUCGACGGGUAGCCGGCCUGAGAGGGUGGACGGCCACAUUGGGACUGAGAUACGGCCCAGACUCCUACGGGAGGCAGCAGUGGGGAAUAUUGCACAAUGGGCGGAAGCCUGAUGCAGCGACGCCGCGUGGGGGAUGACGGCCUUCGGGUUGUAAACCUCUUUCGCUAGGGACGAAGCUUUUGUGACGGUACCUAGAUAAGAAGCACCGGCUAACUACGUGCCAGCAGCCGCGGUAAUACGUAGGGUGCGAGCGUUGUCCGGAAUUACUGGGCGUAAAGAGCUCGUAGGUGGUUUGUCGCGUCGUCUGUGAAAUUCCGGGGCUUAACUUCGGGCGUGCAGGCGAUACGGGCAAUACUUGAGUGCUGUAGGGGAGACUGGAAUUCCUGGUGUAGCGGUGGAAUGCGCAGAUAUCAGGAGGAACACCGAUGGCGAAGGCAGGUCUCUGGGCAGUAACUGACGCUGAGGAGCGAAAGCAUGGGUAGCGAACAGGAUUAGAUACCCUGGUAGUCCAUGCCGUAAACGGUGGGCGCUAGGUGUAGGGGUCUUCCACGACUUCUGUGCCGUAGCUAACGCAUUAAGCGCCCCGCCUGGGGAGUACGGCCGCAAGGCUAAAACUCAAAGGAAUUGACGG